AUUGAACGCUGGCGGCAGGCCUAACACAUGCAAGUCGAGCGGAUGAAGGGAGCUUGCUCCUGGAUUCAGCGGCGGACGGGUGAGUAAUGCCUAGGAAUCUGCCUGGUAGUGGGGGAUAACGUCCGGAAACGGGCGCUAAUACCGCAUACGUCCUGAGGGAGAAAGUGGGGGAUCUUCGGACCUCACGCUAUCAGAUGAGCCUAGGUCGGAUUAGCUAGUUGGUGGGGUAAAGGCCUACCAAGGCGACGAUCCGUAACUGGUCUGAGAGGAUGAUCAGUCACACUGGAACUGAGACACGGUCCAGACUCCUACGGGAGGCAGCAGUGGGGAAUAUUGGACAAUGGGCGAAAGCCUGAUCCAGCAAUGCCGCGUGUGUGAAGAAGGUCUUCGGAUGGUAAAGCACUUUAAGUUGGGAGGAAGGGCAGUAAGUUAAUACCUUGCUGUUUUGACGUUACCAACAGAAUAAGCACCGGCUAACUUCGUG
rnacentral:rRNA from 1 species